rnacentral:rRNA from 1 species
UAUUGGUCAAUGGGCGGGAGCCUGAACCAGCCAAGUCGCGUGAGGGAGUAAGGCCCUACGGGUCGUAAACCUCUUUUGCCGGGGAGCAGGGCGGCGGACGUGUCCGCCGCUUGAGAGUACCCGGCGAAAAAGCAUCGGCUACCCCCGUGCCAGCAGCCGCAGUAAUACGGAGGAUGCGAGCGUUAUCCGGAUUCAUUGGGUUUAAAGGGUGCGUAGGCGGGCUUUUAAGUCAGCGGUAAAAAUUCGGGGCUCAACCCCGUCCGGCCGUUGAAACUGGGAGCCUUGAGUGGGCGAGAAGAAGGCGGAAUGCGUGGUGUAACGGUGAAAUGCAUAGAUAUCACGCAGAACCCCGAUUGCGAAGGCAGCCUUCCGGCGCCCUACUGACGCUGAGGCACGAAAGUGCGGGGAUCGAACAGGA